rnacentral:rRNA from 1 species
CAGUAGCCGCGGGAAUACGUAGGGUCCGAGCGUUGUCCGGAAUUACUGGGCGUAAAGAGCUCGUAGGUGGUUUGUCGCGUUGUUCGUGAAAACUCACAACUCAAUUGUGGGCGUGCGGGCGAUACGGGCAGACUGGAGUACUGCAGGGGAGACUGGAAUUCCUGGUGUAGCGGUGGAAUGCGCAGAUAUCAGGAGGAACACCGGUGGCGAAGGCGGGUCUCUGGGCAGUAACUGACGCUGAGGAGCGAAAGCGUGGGGAGCGAACAGGAUUAGAUACCCCAGUAGUCCCUGUCUCUUAUAC